AAUUAAGUUUAAUUUACUUUUCAUCAAAAACCAAACACCCAUCCAUUAUUAAAUUAUAUUAUUUAGUUAGUUUUCUUUAUUGUUAGUCUUUUAAUUUAAUUUCCGUCCAUUUCAGUUCCUAGUGUUUAAAUUGAGUGUUUCCAUUAUUUUGAGUCAUUUUAAGAGUGUUUCGAGUUAUUAGAAUUUUUAGCCUAGUUUUGUGUCAUUGAGUCUUGUUUAAUAUUUUUAAAUUAAUUUAGAAUAGAUUAGCAAUCCCUCCUAAUCCCGGCCUAGAACGAUACCCUACUUACAUCUAUACUACAAUUGUCAAAAAGAGGGUUUAAUUUGUGUGUCAAGUAAUUUUACACAUCAAAUUUUGGCGCCGUUGCCGGGGAUUAGCAACUUUGCUAAUCCUUUUAUUUUUG
rnacentral:lncRNA from 1 species